CCGACACUGAGCAAACACCGGGUUUUGACGGGGACUCGCAAGCGGGUGGGGCGGGCGCCCCGAGGGCGCGGGGCGGCGGGCUGUACUUACGGAUUUUUGGGGUCGUGCUGGCCUCCGGUGUGGUGGUGGUUGAUUCCUGAAAGGGAGACAAGGUCCACGACGGCGCCGAGUCGUGGACAUAGAUCUUGUAGGAGGAGGGAUGUUACUGCAAAGCUGCAGCAGCAAAAAACACUUUGUUAAAUACAACUGCUAAAAUCCAAUGGCAAAAGAGACAGGAACCCAAAACGGUGCAAAACACUUCUGGCAAGGACAUUUAUUUUGCAUUUGGAAAUCUUCAAAGACAUUUCAACAGAAACAUGUAGGAUGUAUGACUAUUUAUCUUUGUGAAGUUGCAGUUCUGUAAGGAAUAAAAGAUAUAUGGAGAAGUUCAAGGGAGUAUCCCUUCCUUCCAGAGUGUCGACUGCACCACACAGCUUGCUGUUGUCAGCAAACUUUACUCAAUCCCACUAUCCACA